rnacentral:rRNA from 1 species
AUUGAACGCUGGCGGCAUGCCUUACACAUGCAAGUCGAACGGUAACGGGUCCUUCGGGAUGCCGACGAGUGGCGAACGGGUGAGUAAUAUAUCGGAACGUGCCCAGUAGUGGGGGAUAACUGCUCGAAAGAGCAGCUAAUACCGCAUACGACCUGAGGGCGAGAGGGGGGGAUCGCAAGACCUCUCGCUAUUGGAGCGGCCGAUAUCAGAUUAGCUAGUUGGUGGGGUAAAGGCCUACCAAGGCAACGAUCUGUAGUUGGUCUGAGAGGACGACCAGCCACACUGGGACUGAGACACGGCCCAGACUCCUACGGGAGGCAGCAGUGGGGAAUUUUGGACAAUGGGCGCAAGCCUGAUCCAGCAAUGCCGCGUGCAGGAAGAAGGCCUUCGGGUUGUAAACUGCUUUUGUCAGGGAAGAAAUCUUCUGGGCUAAUACCCCGGGAGGAUGACGGUACCUGAAGAAUAAGCACCGGCUAACUACGUGCCAGCAGCCGCGGUAAUACGUAGGGUGCGAGCGUUAAUCGGAAUUACUGGGCGUAAAGCGUGCGCAGGCGGCUUUGCAAGACAGAUGUGAAAUCCCCGGGCUCAACCUGGGAACUGCAUUUGUGACUGCAAGGCUAGAGUACGGCAGAGGGGGAUGGAAUUCCGCGUGUAGCAGUGAAAUGCGUAGAUAUGCGGAGGAACACCAAUGGCGAAGGCAAUCCCCUGGGCCUGUACUGACGCUCAUGCACGAAAGCGUGGGGAGCAAACAGGAUUAGAUACCCUGGUAGUCCACGCCCUAAACGAUGUCAACUGGUUGUUGGACGGCUUGCUGUUCAGUAACGAAGCUAACGCGUGAAGUUGACCGCCUGGGGAGUACGGCCGCAAGGUUGAAACCCAAAGGAAUUGACGGGGACCCGCACAAGCGGUGGAUGAUGUGGUUUAAUUCGAUGCAACGCGAAAAACCUUACCUACCCUUGACAUGUCAAGAAUUCUGCAGAGAUGUGGAAGUGCUCGAAAGAGAACUUGAACACAGGUGCUGCAUGGCCGUCGUCAGCUCGUGUCGUGAGAUGUUGGGUUAAGUCCCGCAACGAGCGCAACCCUUGUCAUUAGUUGCUACGCAAGAGCACUCUAAUGAGACUGCCGGUGACAAACCGGAGGAAGGUGGGGAUGACGUCAGGUCCUCAUGGCCCUUAUGGGUAGGGCUACACACGUCAUACAAUGGCCGGUACAGAGGGCUGCCAACCCGCGAGGGGGAGCCAAUCCCAGAAAACCGGUCGUAGUCCGGAUCGUAGUCUGCAACUCGACUGCGUGAAGUCGGAAUCGCUAGUAAUCGCGGAUCAGCUUGCCGCGGUGAAUACGUUCCCGGGUCU